rnacentral:rRNA from 1 species
GACGAACGCUGGCGGCGUGGAUUAGGCAUGCAAGUCGAACGGUAUCAUCCUUUCGGGGGUGAGAGAGUGGCGAACUGGUGAGUAACACGUAGGUUAUCUACCCUCAAGACGGGGACAACCCAGGGAAACUUGGGCUAAUACCGGAUGUGAGCAACUUUUAGUUGUUUGAAAGAUGGCGUAAGCUGUCGCUUGGGGAUGAGCCUGCGUCCUAUUAGUUAGUUGGUGAGGUAACGGCUCACCUAGGCAAUGAUAGGUAGGCGGCCUUAACGGGUGGUCGCCCACACUGGGAUUGAGAUACGGCCCAGACUCCUACGGGAGGCAGCAGUCGAGAAUAGUCUACAAUGGUCGGAAGACUGAUAGUGCGACGCCGCGUGAACGAUGAAUCCCUUCGGGGUGUAAAGUUCUUUUAUAUGUGAGCAGUGCUUCUUAUAUUAACAGUAUGGGGAGAGAGAUAUUAGCAUAUGAAUAAGCAACGGCUAACUCCGUGCCAGCAGCCGCGGUAAAA